CGACCGCCCCCUGGCGGGCAAAAUGGGGAACUGCAGGGAGGCCUAGAGGAUUCCCCGGAGCAAGGGGCGGAGAGCCCGGGCCGCUCUGCCUGGUGUGGGAGGGGUGGGAAGAGCAGCAGCGGAGGAAUCACUGCCCCUGCGACUUCUCCGAAAAUGGCUCCGUGUGUGUGUCCUGGGCAUGACAGACCUGGGCUCCGGCGCCCUCCCCGGACUUGGAGUGACCUGGGCGCUGACCCUGGGCAUUCUCACUUCCAGGGCCUCCAGGAAGCCGGUUGCCCGCUGGGAAGGAGGCCGGGCUGGGCAGCUGCAGGUCGAGGGCCCCGGAGAAAGGAAAGGCCGCGUGGGGACCCUGCGGGGACAGAUCUGUGAUCCCUCAUGUCCUGGGAGCCGGGCCCGGCCGCCAGGUGGGUGCAGCAGGUGACUCCUAGCUGAGCCUCGCCUGGAUUUCGAACCCAGAAAAUCACGAGUACUGAUGGAAACCAAGGGAUAAGCAUUUGGAACAGUCUAGAGAGCCUUGGAAGCUGCGUGGGCCGGGAAGAGAAUCAGCAUCACUGUGGAGUGAGGGGCCUCUGCCAGCCAAUCGUGCUGACAUGAAAACACACAAAACCGCCAUCCACAGAUGUGCACACACGCACGCCUCGCCAACACAGCUUCAGCUCAUUUGCAAAACCCAAAGCUGCUUGCAGGUGAGCUGGUGAACGAGAAGCAGGAAGAGGAAGCUCUUGAGGAAACAGUCAGCUCCGCCCCUGCGAGAAUGAGGCCGAACCCAAACCGCAGUGGAAAUGUCAGCACUGAGGAGGCGCAUCGCGGCUUGGCUUGUGGUGGACCCACUGCAUUUAUUGUAACUGGGUAACCCGAGUCUGUCCUGUCCCCAGUCCCCAGCACCACUGCCCCAUUCUAACAGGGUCAGCCAAGUUAAUUCUGCUAUGGAAAAGUGAAAGGAAAAGAGACACCAUAUUAAAGAAUCUUACCACAGUGAUAUAUGCACACCCAUGUUCAUAGCGGCACAGUGCAUAAUAGCUAAAGCUUGGAAACAGCCCAAGUGCCCGUCAACUGGAAACUAGAUAAAGAAGAUGUGGGUUUUUUUAUAAAAUGGAGUACUACUCAGCCAAAGGAAUGAGAAACUAGAGGCAUUUUAUAGCUAAAUGGAUGCAUAUUGAGGCCAUCCUCUUAAGUGAAAUAAAUAGGACACACACACGUGUAAAUACCGAAUCGUUUCUCUAGUGUGAGAAACUGAAACUGUAAUUAAGGAUUAAAAUGCUUAAAAUGAAUAAUGGAUAAUUUGAAAUAAGAAGAAAAGGUCCAAAGGGGUUGGGGAAGUAGGAGGGGUAAGGGAAAGGAAAAAUGAGAAAUGGAAAAAAUGGAAACAAAGUCUUUGUAAAUAGGGAAGGGUGGAGGGGUGCAGGGAGGACAGGGAAUGGGGAAAAAAUAAGAACCAAGAUGCAUCAUGCACAGGUACAAGCACCCAAUGAUAAAUGUAAAUGUAUUGUAUACCUAAAAUGUAC
rnacentral:lncRNA from 1 species